AAAAAAAAAAAAAAAAAAAUCUCUUUUUUGGGUUGUUUUCUUUUUGUUUUGGUUUGGUUUUUUCCGUUACUUU
rnacentral:ribozyme from 1 species